rnacentral:siRNA from 1 species
AGUUCAAGGCCAAUCUCUACUAGA